rnacentral:lncRNA from 1 species
CUGAAGCUGCUGAUCUCAGACCUCCAGCAUGCCUGGAAGCCACAGUUUCAUCUUCAAUUUCAGCUUCAAUUGAUUCUGUGGAAAAUGAUGCCACAGUUCAGGUGGUCACUGAAGACGCUCCCAGUGUCAUCUGCAUGGUAUGAUUUUUUGCUUUACCUACUGGGAGUUGUCAAAAAAGCAGUAAGUUGGUUCAACAAAUAAAAUGUGUUUAUAUUUGUUUUUAAGGAGGGAGAAGUGAGUCUCUGCAGGCUCCUGGCUGAACAGCUGCUUGCUGACAUACUGGCUGAAAGAUUUCAGCGAAGAGAUUGUCACCAUGGAGUUGUAAUUGAUGGCCUUCAGUCAGUGUUCACUCACUCUGCAUCUAGCACGCUGCUGGUUGUUCUGAAGGCCCUCAGUAACCGCAAACACAUCUAUGUGGUCAAUCUUUCUGACUCCUAUGAUGCUCUGAAGAAACGGGAGAGACAGCAAAGACAAGUCGAAGGUGAAAUGUACUUUAAGUCUUUCUACCAGUCUGAGUAUUUUCAGUGGGAACGUCUUAGUUAGCUUGUCCAUUGUUUUCCCAGAGUUUCUGCAAAAGCAAAGAGAUGAACGAGAAGAGAGGAGGCUACAGGAUCUGGAUGAUGAGGAAUAUGAGGCUUUGCCAGAAGAGGACAAGGAGCGUGUUCAACAAGUACACAUCAAGAGACUUCAGCAAGAGAAAGCCAGGCAGCUCGAGCAACUGGCAAAAGAAAAAGAAGAAAAGAGGAAACAGGAGGAAGAGAUGCAGAGACAGAAGGAAGAAAACAUGAUGAAGAAGAGCAAAAAAGGGGGAAAAAAGGACAGUAAAGAUUCAAUACGAAAGAAAAACUUUGAAGCAGCACAUUCUGCAGUAAGUGUGCAAAGGAUGUCCUCCUGCAGCAACUCUAAAGAGUCAUUUACGGAUGCAAGAGAGCGACAUUCAAGUGAAGAGCAUCAAAACAAAGAUCCACAUGAUUUAUCAAAGGGGCUGGAAGAUAUGAAACGUUUACAGACUCCUAAAUCCACUGACAGACUGGAGACAGAAAAAAUUUCAGACACAAAGACAAAAGAAGAAGACAAAGACUUGGACCAAAUCACAGAGGAAGCAGAGAAAGCGCAAACAGAACAAGGAGAGGCCAAUAGAACAGAGGAACGUCUGAUGGAAAAAGAACAACUGACCAUAAAUGAAGGGUUACACUUUUUGUGUGAAGAUGAUGAUGCUGAGGAUUCACAUAUGACAACAGAAGAGAGCAAAACUGAGACUUCUCAACAUUUACCAAAGCCAGAGGAAGAAAAGCAUGUUGAAGAUGAGCUACAGUGUCAGUUCAACAAAUAUGAGCUGAGCCAGGUUGAAGUUGGACAUAUUCUGCAGCACUGGGACCGAGCCAGGGGCCUGUUGCUGGCUCCUCUUCACCCAGGUCAAACCCAUCCAUGGUUGGAUGAGUUUUCAACAGGAAAACAGCUCCCUGCUGUCCUUAAGAAGAGUAGGAAAGGAGCCCUCAAGAACCUUUCUCCAGUGCCGACUCAGAGAGCAGCAUCAGCUGAAGCUGACUACAAGUCGCCCUCACUCGCCAUUCCUCAAAUUGUCUUGAAAAUAAUGGAGGGCGAUGGAGAAAGUACCUCAGAACAGCUCAUCAGCACCCUCCCUCUACCUGAUGAGGUACUGCAAACAUUAUUUACACCUGGCUUGAUGCUUACACUCAGUUUUAUUUUUGCUAAACACUGUUUUACUUUCUUUAGGUGUUAG